AUUGAACGCUGGCGGCAGGCUUAACACAUGCAAGUCGAGCGGAGAUGAGGUGCUUGCACCUUAUCUUAGCGGCGGACGGGUGAGUAAUGCUUAGGAAUCUGCCUAUUAGUGGGGGACAACAUUCCGAAAGGAAUGCUAAUACCGCAUACGUCCUACGGGAGAAAGCAGGGGAUCUUCGGACCUUGCGCUAAUAGAUGAGCCUAAGUCGGGUUAGCUAGUUGGUGGGGUAAAGGCCUACCAAGGCGACGAUCUGUAGCGGGUCUGAGAGGAUGAGCCUCCACACUGGGACUGAGACACGGCCCAGACUCCUACGGGGGGCAGCAGUGGGGAAUAUUGGACAAUGGGGGGAACCCUUAUCCAGCCAUGCCGCGUGUGUGAAGAAGGCCUUAUGGUUGUAAAGCACUUUAAGCGAGGAGGAGGCUACUGAGACUAAUACUCUUGGAUAGUGGACGUUACUCGCAGAAUAAGCACCGGCUAACUCUGUGCCAGCCGCCGCAGUAACAC
rnacentral:rRNA from 1 species